ACACUCCAAAACUCUCAUAGCUCUGGGAAACCAGAGUUUAUGAAACCCUAUUCACAUUAGCGAACCCGGCGGGAAAUGCAGUGGCGGCCUUGCAAAAGGUCAAAGCUACAUUUCUUAGCUACUUUCUUUUGUCCAUUUUUUACUUUAAACCCCAAUCAUUUCUUUUAUGUCUGACUGGAAGACCUAGUCUUCCGUUGCUCUUUACUCUAACCGGUAGAGGCAAUGAAAACUACUUAAAAAAACAAAAAAA
rnacentral:misc_RNA from 1 species